UACGUAGGGGGCUAGCGUUGUCCGGAAUCAUUGGGCGUAAAGCGCGUGUAGGCGGUCCGGUAAGUCCGCUGUGAAAGUCGGGGGGCUCAACCCUCGGAUGCCGGUGGAUACUGUCGGGCUUGAGUACGGAAGAGGCGAGUGGAAUUCCUGGUGUAGCGGUGGAAUGCGCAGAUAUCAGGAGGAACACCAAGUAGCGAAGGCAGCUCGCUGGGACGUUACUGACACUGAGGCGCGAAAGCGUGGGGAGCGAACAGG
rnacentral:rRNA from 1 species